GCGGAAGUGAAGCGGUGGCGGAGGAGGAGGCGCCAUGGAGGCGCUGGCCGUCACCGCCCAGCUCUGCGGGCCGGAGCUGGAGCGCUACGGGCGCUGCGUGGCCGCGAGCCCCGGGAGCUGGCACCGGGAUUGUCACCAACUGUCCCUGAGCGUCACCGAGUGUGCAUCCAACCACCCCCUGGUGCGCCGGAUCCGCCGGGAUUGCUCCGACUCCUUCGGGGCCUUCGAACGCUGCCUGCGGGAGCGGCCCCGGCGCGCGGCCGAGUGCGGCCCCCAGGUCAGCCAGUUCCUGCUCUGCGCCCAGAAUGUCACCCAGAGUGGCACCCGUGGGGACACUGCCAUGGCCACCCCCAGCGCCACCCCCAGGGACAGCCCCAGUGCCACCUCCGCAGGUGAAUUUUGGGGUAAAAAUGGGAAUUAAACCCCCAAAUGAGGCCCCCACGUCAGCCAGUUCCUGCUCUGCGCCCAGAGUGUCACCCAGAGUGUCACCCAGAGGGUCACGCCCAGUGCCACCUCCGCAGAGAAUCCCUGGAAUUAAAACCCAUCCAGGAAUGCCGAGAAAGCCUCAGAACCUUCUGGAAUCUCCUCCCAAAUCCUGGGAAUUGCCUCUCUGGAAAAGGAGCCCUGGGAUGUGGGGCCUGAUCCGCAAUUCCCUGCGGAUUCCCGGGUUUUUAUCCCAAGAAUUGGAGGAAGAAAUUAAAAUUCCAGCAGGAUCUCCCCAGGAA